CCCUUAGAUGUUCUGGGCCGCACGCGCGCUACACUGUUCGACGCAGCGAGUCUUAACCUUGACCGAAAGGUUUGGGUAAUCUUCAGCAAAGUCGAACGUGAUGGGGAUCGAUCAUUGCAAUUAUUGAUCGUGAACGAGGAAUUCCUAGUAAGUGCAAGUCAUCAGCUUGCGCUGAUUACGUCCCUGCCCUUUGUACACACCGCCCGUCGCUACUACCGAUUGAAUGGUUUAGUGAGAUCUCUGGAUUGACGCUGGCUAGGGGGCGACCCUUGGCCAGACUGCUCGAGAAACUGCUCAAACUUGAUCAUUUAGAGGAAGUAAAAGUCGUAACG
rnacentral:rRNA from 1 species